CUAAAAUUUGUACUCUCAUCCCCUAUAUUAUUUUAUUAUUAUGUUAACAUAGCUCAAAGUUCAGUUAGCUUUGAAGAAAAACAGAAAAGUCCUAAAAAGAGCUACUUUAUACUUUCUUACUUUGAGUACAUUUCAGAGCCUGCACUUUUCUACUUGAGUAAGGAACUUGAAUCAGUACUUCAACUUUUACUGGAAUAUUUUUUACAGGAGUAUUUGUACUUGUACUUAAGUACAGAAUGUCUGUACUUUUGCCAACUCUGCUUGGUCUGAGCAGGAGCUCAUCAGAUUGAACUAACUGGUGUCCUAUUCUUAAUGUUUCUGACUAAAUUCAGAAACAUUAAGGUUGUUGCUGCUGUGCACUCACAGAUACUGAUGGUCUGAUGAAGGCCUCUACAAGUGUGACAUCAGCGGUCAUGGAGAGUCUCCAUCCAGCUGGAUCACUGUCACAGACAAACCUACAACCACACCUCCACCUACCACUACAACUAUCCCCACCACUCCAGAUCUGACCGCUGACUCCUCACUACAGCUUGCAUUCAGAAUAGUCCUCCACCUGGUGGUGUUGUGUCCAUAUAUCAUCUCCACUCUCCUCAUGGUGUCUUUAUAUCAAUGCAGAGCCAAAGGAAAUGACAUCAGUGAUUCAACCAAGCCCACUCUGCUUGACCAGGGAUUGGAUAACGAACGUGAUGAUGUAAUCACUGAUGUAACCACAGAGUAUCACUUCUGAAUCAGAGCUUUGUUGUCUCUUUCUGAGUCUCACUAACUUUGUCCUCUCCAUCUCUGAUUUGGAGAUUAUUUGAAUAAAUGGACUCUGAUGUUCAUCUCUG